rnacentral:rRNA from 1 species
AGAGGUGGCGAGCGUUGUUCGGAUUUACUGGGCGUAAAGGGCGCGUAGGCGGCGAUGUGUGUCGGGUGUGAAAUCCCAGGGCCCAACCCUGGAAGUGCGCCCGAAACUGCAUCGCUUGAGUGCGGGAGGGGAGAUCGGAAUGCAGGGUGUAGCGGUGAAAUGCGUUGAUAUCCUGCAGAACACCGGUGGCGAAGGCGGAUCUCUGGAACGCAACUGACGCUGAGGCGCGAAAGUCGGGGGAGCAAACAGGAUUAGAUACCCUGGUAGUCCCGACCUUAAACGGUGCACACUUGGGGUGGGGGGGAUUUCACCCCCCCCGUCCCGUAGCUAACGCGUUAAGUGUGCCGCCUGGGGAGUACGGCCGCAAGGUUA